CCCAUUUACUAAUCUUAUUAAAUCAUCUCCUAAUGUAUUUAGCUAAGAUUAUUUUACUCAUCUGAAUUUUGAUAGAUUAGCUCUGUAUAUGUGAUGAGUACCUUCUCCUUGGGGGUAUAUAUUCCAUAUAUGCCAGGGAAAACUCUUUGUCAUUGGCUAGAUUAGCAAGCAACAAGGUGAUCAUGGAAAGCCCUUUAAUUAGUCUAUAUUUAAUUUAAUUAGUCUGAACAGCAAAUUAAUUCAGGGUACAGUAACAAAAGAUGUAGAAGUGCUAACUGAUAAUGAAAAGUGAAAUUAGAUAAUGUAUAGAAUGAUUUUGAAAGUAUUUUUUUUUUCCUUGUUCUGGCCAUAGCCCCCCUCCACUCCUUUCUGUCGUCUUCAUCCAAAUGGCUACUUCUCUGAUUGUCCAUUAUUCGAUCAACAAUUAACCCCAGGGAAGAGAAUCUAGGAUUUCCCAGAAAGGCAUUAUUAGCCACCUUUCCUGCAGACAUGGUGAUGCAUCUUGGGAAGAGAAACUCAAAUUAGCUACCAGAAGGCUGAAAUCUUCCUUCAAAUUCAGUUCUGGCUAUAGGACAUCUCUUCCCAAACACCUACCGGAUCAUCGAAUCCAGCAUGUUGCAGAUAGAGUGGAAGGUCUGGGGCCAGGUACCUGCUUCACGUCAAUUGUCCAACUUCCCAGUUCUGAUGAAGUUGCCACCAGGCUCCACUCUUCCUUCCCCAUCAGUGCUUGCCUCACACUUGGUCCCAACCAGUUCCCCUAUUUUACCUGUGAGACAGUUUUAACAACCCUGUCCUCUUCCCUAGCCCCCACGCUCCAUUCUCCAUUAGGCAUUGCUUAUCUUUGACUGGACUUUUGAACUUGUCCUUGAGUGGCUCUAUCUCCAUUUUCUCUUCUCCAGUGAAUCCUACACAUGAGUACCCAAUGAAACUUACAAAAACAUGUUUCAAAAUCAUUCCUGCUAAGAAGACCAUCAUAGCUUGCCUAGAAAAUUAAUAAUAAACUCCUACCGUUUCCACACUAGGCCAUUCCUAUCAUAACCUCAACUUUGUUUCAGUUCUUCUUGCCAUUUCA
rnacentral:lncRNA from 1 species